rnacentral:rRNA from 1 species
AUGUUUGAGGACAUAACUAGUGAUGGCACAGAUCAUUGGAAUCCUUCAAUAGGCAUAUCCCCUCCUAGUGCAGCAAUACCAGAUACCAUUGAUAUUGAAGCGAUCACAGAUGUUGAUUUGUUAGAAGAUCCCCAAGUGCCACCUUCUCCUACUAUGCCACCUUCUCCUACAAUGAACAAGAGGCUUGGAAAAACUAUUGAUGACAAGCACAGGAAACCUAGGACUGCACAAGUGAUGCAGGAUGAGAUUACACAGAUUAAAAACAUUGCUAAGGAGUCCCAAGAAACCGUUCGAUCAUUCAUAAAGAAUGAUGAUGCCACUUCUGUUGCCACUACCAUGAAUGAAGUGCUUGCUUGUGGUAUUUUAGAGGGAAGUGAUGAACACUACAUUGCUACCGAGUUGUUCAUCAAAAGAGAGCAAAGAGAGAUGUUUCUACACAUGGGUGCUGGCGCACGUAAAGAUUGGCUUCGUAGGAAGUUUGCGAUGACGUAUGGGAAAUAG